rnacentral:lncRNA from 10 species
CAUUUUUAAAGAGUUUAUUGGAAGGAAAGCACAGGUUUCAGGGGAAGUAGAAAAAUGUCAGAUGCUUUGUCUCCCUCCCUCCCUCUCGCUCUCCCCCAUCCUCCCCUUUUCCUCAUCUCCAACUUCUGCUUCUCUCUGUAACUCAUGCCUUUCUCUUGCUUUUGCAGCUUCCACUUCAUUAUGAUUUUUUGGCUCUGACAUAGGACAGUUUUUUUUGUUUGUUUUCUGUUUUUUACGUUUACCCUCAUUUUUGUCAUAUUUUAUUUUUUUCUGUGGAGAACCAGCCAUGGGAAUUGGUUUUCAGCAAUGGACACCUGACCUGACCAAAGCCAAUAAAUCAUGAGACUUUUGCUGAGACUUCAGAGAGGUGGGAUGUGGAGGGGAGAGGACAUGAGGAUGGAGCUGCCAAAGCCAUCCUGCCACUGUGAAGCACAAGACUAAGGCCAACACAGCAGAAAGGGCAAAGGGCUGGAAAGAAGCUAAGUCCUGAUGGAGGCUUUCUGAAGUCUGAAUCCCAGCUGUCCGUGAGACCAGUCCUGCUUUUCAUUUCAUGAGUCAAUCACUGUAUUUCUUGCCUAAGUCAUCCAUUAGCACAGCUGUCAGCCUUGGAUUGCCAUUGAGUCAACCCCAUUC